rnacentral:rRNA from 1 species
GAUGAACGCUAGCUACAGGCUUAACACAUGCAAGUCGAGGGGCAGCAUGAACUUAGCUUGCUAAGUUUGAUGGCGACCGGCGCACGGGUGAGUAACACGUAUCCAACCUUCCGUUUACUCAGGGAUAGCCUUUCGAAAGAAAGAUUAAUACCUGAUAGUAUGGUGAGAUUGCAUGAUAGCACCAUUAAAGAUUUAUUGGUAAACGAUGGGGAUGCGUUCCAUUAGGUAGUAGGCGGGGUAACGGCCCACCUAGCCGACGAUGGAUAGGGGGUUCUGAGAGGAAGGUCCCCCCACAUUGGAACUGAGACACGGGUCCAAACUCCUACGGGAGGCAGCAGUGAGGAAUAUUGGUCAAUGGGCGAGAGCCUGAACCAGCCAAGUAGCGUGAAGGAUGAAGGUCCUACGGAUUGUAAACUUCUUUAUAAGGGAAUAAAACCUCCCACGUGUGGGAGCUUGUAUGUACCUUAUGAAUAAGCAUCGGCUAACUCCGUGCCAGCAGCCGCGGU